rnacentral:rRNA from 1 species
UACGUAGGUGGCAAGCGUUGACCGGAUUUACUGGGCGUAAAGAGCGCGCAGGCGGUCGAGUAAGUCGAAUGUGAAAGCCCCCGGCUUAACUGGGGAGGGUCAUUCGAUACUGUUCGACUUGAAGGCAGGAGAGGGCAGCAGAAUUCCCGGUGUAGUGGUGAAAUGCGUAGAUAUCGGGAGGAAUACCAGUGGCGAAGGCGGCUGCCUGGCCUGUUCUUGACGCUGAGGCGCGAAAGCUGGGGGAGCAAACGGG